rnacentral:rRNA from 1 species
GACGAACCGUCCAAACGUUAUUCGGAUUCACUGGGCUUAAAGGGUGCGUAGGCGGCCCGGGAAGUUGGGUGUGAAAUCCCUCGGCUCAACCGAGGAACUGCGCCCAAAACUGCCGGGCUCGAGGAAGAUAGAGGUGAGCGGAACUUAGGGUGGAGCGGUGAAAUGCGUUGAUAUCCUAAGGAACACCAGUAGCGAAAGCGGCUCACUGGGUCUUUUCUGACGCUGAUGCACGAAAGCUAGGGGAGCGAAGAGGAUUAGAUACCCUCGUAGUCCUAGCCGUAAACGAUGAGCACUGGUUUGGAGGGUCCUCCAUAGCCUUCCAGACGUAGCGAAAGUGUUAAGUGCUCCGCCUGGGGAGUAUGGUCGCAAGGCUG